UUUUAUGGCUAGGAGGUUAAUCUUAACUAGAGUUAGUAGCAAAGUUAAGUUAACUAGGGUGUGGUUAAGUUCUUAGCCUAUAAAUACUAUUAAAGCUUAUACUCUCCCUCAUCACCUCUAGUUAUCUCUGCCACUAUUACCAUUUACACUCCCAAUCUCAGUAACUCUUAAAAGUGUCCAAGCUCUCUCUUUCUCUAAGCUAGAUCAACUACCUCACACAACUAUAAAUCAGCAAUAUACUUCCAUAAUUUUCACUCCCAUAUAUAAAUCACAAUACACCUCAAGCCAUACCAUUAUCAUUCUUUAAUUAGUCUUCCAUAGCUUUAGAUUAAACACCAACUUUUAUACGCCUAGAAAUUAUUCAAGAUCUCAUAUCAUCACAUUCCUCUAUCCUCUCGCAUAUAUAUAUAUAUAUAUUUCAUCAUACUGGCGUCACUAUCACUAUAAUUUCACAUUUAAGUUAUUAGUGCUCCAUUAAAUCUCAUUUGGAAACUAAGGUUUUUCGUAAGAAACUCAUUAUUGGUUCUCAAGGAUCACUCUCAUUACAAUCAAGGCUAGAACUCCACAUUUGAGACCAAAGUAACUGAAAGUAUAGAAUGCCGGUGGCAAGUGGAACUUUGGACGCUUGUGUGUGUGAACUCGCUGAGGGCCAUAUAACUGCGGGCGAUCUAGGGCGCUCUAUUUAUUUUUUUACGCUAUUAAGUUUAUGUCGUAAUUAUUUUAGUUAUUAUUUAUUAUGUCUUUUGUACGAAAACUGGCCAGUUGUGAAUAUUUUCAAGUAUUAAAUAAAAAUGGGACAUUAUGAUUUUCCGCGAUUAACGCUUGUAAAUAAAAUUAAUAUUUUUAUAAAAGUACGGG